UUCUGUGAACCUGGAAGGCAUGUGGGCCUUCGUUCCCAUAUCUUUAAAAUGAGAAGGUUGGAUGGCACGAUUCCUCUAGAUGGCUUAAUGUUCCAAGAUGCUAUGAAAUGGGAUCAGAGGUUGUCUUGGUAAUCUUGCGGCACUACAAGACUAAGUUAGGUGAGUUCUUGCCCUGGAGAAGCUUAAAUUCUGGUGGAGAAGGCAGACCAUGGACAGGCGAAUGAACACACCCAUGAUACUAUUCGGGCAGAGCCCAGUGUGAACACCAAAGAAGACUGGAGCCCAGCUGCUUUUCUCAAGAUUCUAACACUGCAGUGGGGCCCACAAAUAUUUAUAAUUCAGAAGGCUCCACAGGUUGUUUCCAGUACCCGAAGGGUGUAACAAGGGAUGCACACAUAGACCCUCAGCCCAGAUGAGGAGACAUGACUAACCCGUAGAAAAGGACGUCCAGAUGAUGGAGCUGAAUGUGGGGGUGCCUGCCGCAGUCCAGAGGCCCAGUGGUGGUUCCCUGAGAGGGAGCAAGAGCGGAGAAGUGGUGCUAUUUUCUAUCACCCAAAUUGCUGGAAUGAUACCAAGCUGGAAGACAAGAUACAGUGAAGGCUCGAAAUGCUCUCAGAAGGUUAGAACAAUGGACAUAGUUAAACGUGGUGGCACUAAGAAUAUGUGGACAUAAACGACCAGCUUCGGGGGCGCCUGGGUGACUCAGUUGGUUAAGCAUCUGCCUUUGGCUCAGGUCAUGAUCCCGGGUUCCUGGGAUUGUUUGGGGGGAGGGUCCCUGCUCAGCGGGGAAUCUGC